AACGAACGCUGGCGGCAUGCCUAACACAUGCAAGUCGAACGAGACCUUCGGGUCUAGUGGCGCACGGGUGCGUAACGCGUGGGAACCUGCCCUUAGGUUCGGAAUAACUCCCCGAAAGGGGUGCUAAUACCGGAUAAUGUCUUCGGACCAAAGAUUUAUCGCCUUUGGAUGGGCCCGCGUUGGAUUAGCUAGUUGGUAGGGUAAAAGCCUACCAAGGCGACGAUCCAUAGCUGGUCUGAGAGGAAGAUCAGCCACACUGGGACUGAGACACGGCCCAGACUCCUCCGCGAGGCAGCAGUGGCGAAUAUUGGACAAUGGGCGAAGGCCUGAUCCAGCACUGCCGCGUGAGUGAUGAAGGCCUUAGGGUUGUAAAGCUCUUUUACCCGGGAUGAUAAUGACAGUACCGGGAGAAUAAGCUCCGGCUAACUCCGUG
rnacentral:rRNA from 1 species